rnacentral:rRNA from 1 species
UACGGAGGAUCCAAGCGUUAUCCGGAUUUAUUGGGUUUAAAGGGUGCGUAGGCGGCCUGUUAAGUCAGGGGUGAAAGACGGUAGCUCAACUAUCGCAGUGCCCUUGAUACUGAUGGGCUUGAAUGGACUAGAGGUAGGCGGAAUGAGACAAGUAGCGGUGAAAUGCAUAGAUAUGUCUCAGAACACCGAUUGCGAAAGCAGCUUACUAUGGUCUUAUUGACGCUGAGGCACGAAAGCGUGGGGAUCAAACAGG